GAGGGCGCCUGAGAAACGGCUACCACAUCCAAGGAAGGCAGCAGGCGCGCAAAUUACCCACUCCUGACACGGGGAGGUAGUGACGAAAAAUAACAAUACGGGACUCUUUCGAGGCCCCGUAAUUGGAAUGAGUACACUUUAAAUCCUUUAACGAGGAUCUAUUGGAGGGCAAGUCUGGUGCCAGCAGCCGCGGUAAUUCCAGCUCCAAUAGCGUAUAUUAAAGUUGUUGCAGUUAAAAAGCUCGUAGUUGGAUCUCGGGUCCAGGCUUGUGGUGCAGCUUAGGCUGCUUACUGCUCGUCCUGACCUACCUACCGGUUUUCCCUUGGUGCUCUUAAGUGAGUGUCUUGGGUGGCCGGAACGUUUACUUUGAAAAAAUUAGAGUGCUCAAAGCAGGCUUUCGCCUGAAUAUUAGUGCAUGGAAUAAUUGAAUAGGACCUCGGUUCUAUUUUGUUGGUUUUCGGAACUCGAGGUAAUGAUUAAGAGGGACAGACGGGGGCAUUCGUAUUACGGUGUUAGAGGUGAAAUUCUUGGAUCGCCGUAAGACGAACUACUGCGAAAGCAUUUGCCAAGAAUGUUUUCAUUAGUCAAGAACGAAAGUCAGAGGUUCGAAGACGAUCAGAUACCGUCGUAGUUCUGACCAUAAACGAUGCCAACUAGCGAUCCGCCGGAGUUGUUUCAAUGACUCGGCGGGCAGCUUCCGGGAAACCAAAGUCUUUGGGUUCCGGGGGAAGUAUGGUUGCAAAGCUGAACUUAAAGGAAUUGACGGAAGGGCACCACCAGGAGUGGAGCCUGCGCUUAAU
rnacentral:rRNA from 1 species